UGGGGAAUAUUGGACAAUGGGCGCAAGCCUGAUCCAGCCAUGCCGCGUGAGUGAUGAAGGCCUUAGGGUUGUAAAGCUCUUUCACCGGUGAAGAUAAUGACGGUAACCGGAGAAGAAGCCCCGGCUAACUUCGUGCCAGCAGCCGCGGUAAUACGAAGGGGGCUAGCGUUGUUCGGAAUUACUGGGCGUAAAGCGCACGUAGGCGGACAUUUAAGUCAGGGGUGAAAUCCCGGGGCUCAACCUCGGAACUGCCUUUGAUACUGGGUGUCUAGAGUAUGGAAGAGGUAAGUGGAAUUGCGAGUGUAGAGGUGAAAUUCGUAGAUAUUCGCAGGAACACCAGUGGCGAAGGCGGCUUACUGGUCCAUUACUGACGCUGAGGUGCGAAAGCGUGGGGAGCAAACA
rnacentral:rRNA from 1 species